rnacentral:rRNA from 1 species
AAGCGGAGGAAAAGAAAAUAACAAUGAUUCCCUCAGUAACGGCGAGCGAAGAGGGAUAAGCUCAAAUUUUAAAUCUGUUGGGUUCCACUUAACAGAGUUGUAUUUUGAAGAAACGUUUUCUGCGUCCAGGAUUAGCCUAAAUCCUUUGGGAUAAGGUAUCAUGGAGGGUGAGAAUCCCGUUCAUGGUUAAUCUUAAGGAAGCUCUACGAUACGUUUUCCAAGAGUCGAGUUGUUUGGGAUUGCAGCUCAAAAUGGGAGGUAAAUUUCUCCUAAGGCUAAAUAUUGGCGAGAGACCGAUAGCGAACAAGUACCGUGAGGGAAAGAUGAAAAGAACUUUGAAAAGAGAGUUAAACAGUACGUGAAAUUGUUGAAAGGGAAACGAUUGAAGUCAGUCAUACCAACGGGAAAUCAACCUUUUGAGCUCGGUCUCGUGGGUUUUGAAGAGUUUCAAAGCCUUCGGAUUCGCGGGAUUGGGAUCUCUUGGUGUACUUUUUCGUACGGUUAGUCAACAUCGGUUUUGAAUGUCAUAAAAUGACUGGAGGAAUGUAGCUUCGAUCUCGUAUUGAAGUGUUAUAGCCUUUGGUAGAUGUGAUGUUUGAGACCGAGGAUUGCAACGGAUACCCUUCAGGGCUAUUCGUCUGAUCUCUGAUACGUUGCCUUGAUGUUGAAAGCUUGCUUAUGAUGUUAGGGUAUUACGGUCAAAAGGUUAGAACGAAUUACAUUCGUUAAGGAUGUUGACGUAAUGACUUU